rnacentral:rRNA from 1 species
GCAAGUCGAGCGCGAACGUGACUUCGGUCAUUAGUAGAGCGGCGAACGGGUGAGUAACGCGUGGACAACCUGCCUAGAAGUGGGGAACAACUUGGGGAAACUUGAGCUAAUACCGCAUGUGAUCGCAUUGCGAAAGUAGUGCAAUGAAAGAUGGCCUCUUCUUGAAAGCUGUCGCUUCUAGAUGGGUCCGCGUCUGAUUAGCUUGUUGGUGAGGUAAUGGCUCACCAAGGCGACGAUCUCUAGCUGGUCUGAGAGGAUGAUC